UACAGAGGGUGCGAGCGUUAAUCGGAAUUACUGGGCGUAAAGCGUGCGUAGACGGUUAUUUAAGUCGGAUGUGAAAGCCCCGGGCUCAACCUGGGAAUUGCAUUCGAGACUGAAUAGCUAGGGUGCGGUAGAGGGAAGCGGAAUUUCCGGUGUAGCGGUGAAAUGUGUAGAGAUCGGGAGGAACACCGGUGGCGAAGGCGGGUCUCUGGGCAAUUCCUGACGCUGAGGCGCGAAAGCGUGGGGAGCAAACGGG
rnacentral:rRNA from 1 species